AAUGAACGCUGGCGGCAGGCCUAGCACAUGCAAGUCGAACGGGUCCUUCGGGACUAGUGGCGGACGGGUGAGUAACGCGUGGGAACAUGCCCUUUGGUACGGAAUAGCCUCGGGAAACUGGGAGUAAUGCCGUAUGUGGUCGAGAGACGAAAGAUUUAUCGUCGAAGGAUUGGCCCGCGUUGGAUUAGGUAGUUGGUGGGGUAAUGGCCUACCAAGCCGACGACCCAUAGCUGGUUUGAGAGGAUGAUCAGCCACACUGGGACUGACACACGGCCCAGACUCCUACGGGAGGCAGCAGUGGGGAAUCUUAGACAAUGGGGGAAACCCUGAUCUAGCCAUGCCGCGUGAUCGAUGAAGGCCUUAGGGUUGUAAAGAUCUUUCAGGUGGGAAGAUAAUGACUGUACCACCAGAAGAAGCCCCGGCUAACUCCGUGCCAGCCGCCGCCGUAAUAC
rnacentral:rRNA from 1 species